GUUGGAGCUGCGGCAGCAGUGUGCAGGGAUGAACAUGGUCAGUACCUCGGGUCCUCGGCAAUUGUUCUACCUGCGGUUAUAAAUCCUACAAUUUUAGAGUCCAUUGCUUGUCGUGAGGCCUUGGCACUUGCGGCUGAUUUAUCUUUGGAUCACUUGGUGAUUGCAUGUGACUGCAAGCCGAUUGUGGAUGACAUAAAAAAGGGGAUAGGAGGCCCCCAUAUCGCAGUCGUCAAGGAGAUAAAUAAUAGAAGAGGGUUUUUUGCUAGUUGUGAUUUUGUAUUUGAAGGUCGUGCUUCGAACCUAGAGGCACACAACCUUGUGAAAUUUUCUGUCUCACUUCCGCAGGGUCGCCAUUUGUGGCUUCUAUCCCCUCAUGACCCCCUUUGUAUCCCUAUGAACAUAGUUUCUAAUUAA
rnacentral:rRNA from 1 species